UUUCAUUAACAUUCCCUCUGUAUGGAUGUUUAACCUGUCACCUUUGCUUUCCUUAAAACACCCCAACACAUCUGCAAAAGCAAAGUUAACAUCGGGACAAAAAUCAAGCAGAAAAAGAAAGCAAAACAGACCCCCUGGGUCUCAACUUCAUUCUGGCUGGCCUUCACCCCCCAGUAAACCGGCCAGAGGUUUUCCUCCACAGCAGCCACCAUAUCUGCCUCCCAUCCCAGGGAUGAAAGCAACUAUUAUUGCUGUCGUAAACGGGGCGGGAAGGCCAAUUCUACCCUAAUAAGUGUCUUUGUGGGUGUGCUUUCGGUAUGUGAAAAUAAUUGGGCCUUUUACAGGGAUGAUGAGACCCCAGAGAAGGCAGAUGGCACUGCCCACUUGUGUGAUGGUAUCCUCGGGCACUGGAGGGGGCAAAGAAUUUUAAACAAAGUAAGAGGGAGUAAAAGAGAGAGGAAAACAGGAAAGGGAAGUUUGGGCCUCGAUUCUGCAGUCUAGCUCUGCAGUCUGGGUAGCCUCUUCCCCACUCAAACAAACGGAAGCGAAGAAAGGAAUCCAGCAACUGGCACAAACCGCUGAGGUUGCUGUGCUCUGAUUGGACGGGACUACGGUAGGCGGGACUAGCACAGCCACCAGCACCAGGCGACACAGCAGGCGGAGGUGGAAAGAACUGCCUUUUGGUAGUUAGCUCUGACGUAAACCUAGAGAUUCAUGGGAACGUCUGAAAACGUGGACUGCCAGAAAUUUCAAAGGCAAAGAAAAAAAGACAAAAGUGCGUGGGUCCGUCAAUUUGUGUUGUGUGUGAGUUUUUGGUCCAAUCGAUCUCUGCAUAGCAAGGAAAGAUGUGACACUCUUUAAUCACCUAUAUGAAGCAGUGUCUUCACUCGAGGCCAGUGGGGACACCUAUGUAUGUCCCUUUUAAAAUCUUAAUUUAAUGACACUCUAUUUGCAACUUCUACUAAUAAACUAUUUACAGAAAACAGGACAGAUAAAGUCUUGUGUUAAAUGGUCCUGAAUCUCAAUGAGAAACGGCUGAUACUGGGACUCGACCCUUUCUUUCGCCUUAGAUCUACAAAUACCCAGCCUUCAGGAGGGCAACCGUUCGUUCAAGAAGCUGAGAGCUAGGAAGAGAGAGAAGGGAGCCAGAAGGUUGAAGACGACUGUAGAAAGGUUUUAACCGUCAUGUGGUUCCGAGCUCUCAGAGUGAAGCAGGAGGUGGGUUCUGAUGCAGGAGCUACAGAGCUUAUUUUUAUUAUCUUCCCGGGAGACGGAGACCGACUUUUUAUUCCUUCUGCAACUCACAACACUGCUCUGGAGGCCAUCCUGAGGACUGUUGCUGAAAGAAAAAAAAAAAAAAAAGUCUGGAUUUUUGACCCAGGUCUAUCUAUAGGUGCCUUUCCCAGACAAUCAUCCUGAUACUCAUCUGUCACCUUUGUCACCACCAGCACCCGAACUUACAGGCCGCCAGUCUGCCCCGAGGCCAAGCAAGCACAGGGACCCCGCGCCUAGCUACGGGGACUUGGAGGCGCCAGAGCCUGGUGCGUUCUGCGCGGCCCGGCCGGGAGUGGCUCAGGGCCAUGCCCUCCCACGGGCAGCAUCCAGGGCCAAGGCCGGUUCAGCCUCACGUUUGCGACUCUGUUUUCCUUUCAAGCCUUCCCAUCCGGGAAACCCUCUGUCGCUGAUCAGACGGUCGCGAAGAGUCAUGAGCACACGGGGAGGGAGAAGCUCUGCAGACCCUGGACCCCGCUUGGCUCGACCUCCUCCGCAGAGCUUGUCCUUGGCUUGCAGCGGCGGAGACCACGCGCGACAGAAGCAGAAAAGCCUCGGGAGCAGGUUCCACCGGAGACCUCGAGCCGGCCGGGGCGCACAGGCUGUCGGAGCUGCAGAGCUCUGGAGCCUUCCGUUAAGAACUUAUUAAGGGGGUUGGGGAUUUAGCCCAGUGGUAGAGCGCUUGCCUAGCAAGCGCAAGGCCCUGGGUUCUGCCCCCAGCUCCGAAAAAAAGAAAGAAAGAAAGAAAAAGAACUUAUUAAGUGGGAGGUGGUUAAGAGUUGAUCUGUCGCAGAGCGCUACUUACCCCAGAUCUUUGAGAUUUUUGAAUUACUUUUAUUGAUCUGUAGACUGUGUUCUUUGGAAUGUGACCCCGUCGGACUUCGAGUUAAUCAGGAAGCGCUGCCGGGGAGGGUUCCUUGUCAUCACCCCCGGACCUCCCCCACCGCGGGCACACUCCCCACCCCACCCUUAAUAGCAGCCUGGGCCGUGCCUGGAACCGCCAGCCCUUGGAACCCGCCCCACUGCGCGACCGGGAGCUGUCUGUGGUGCUAGGAAAGAGAACCUGGGAGAUCGCCCGGAGUAGGGACAGGCAAGAAGAGGUAAAGAGGAAGAAACAGAAUGGCAGCUCACCCAAAAAGGCUCAAAAUGGCUGAGGCCUUUCACAUUCGAAGCGAGGAAAAGAUGUCCUGUGAGUCUUCCCAUCCCCCCUUAAGAAAGUGGGGCUAGUUUUCCAACAGCAAACGGCCAGUGACAUCUCCCUUUCUCAGACAGCCCUGGAGCCCACCAACACCCAGUCUGGGUUUCCACACCUACUCCCGUUCAGACAGAAGCAAGUUGUCUUCUACAGGCGAUAUGGAAGAGUGCUGGGCACUGGGACCCAACUCAAAAAAAAAAAAAAAUACUCAAGUGACAGAGAAGACUAAAGACCCCCCAGAAAGUAUUCUCGAACAAAGUGAGAGAAGACUCCUAAAGAAGUUCAUCCAGGGUCAGACCUGGAGAUGACCCCAUUCGCCCACAACUGCCUGUGGUCAGCCACCAGGACACAGGGUGGGCCAGCUUCCCCCAACAAGGGUUCAAAGCUGCCCAGGAAAGCCUGGUUCAUCUUCUCCAGAACUGUUUGUGAGUGGUGAAAAGUCAGGGCUUGUUCUCCAAGCUUGCUGACUUCAAGCCCUGCCUGGCUUUUUCUUCCAGUGUAUUCUUUGUAACCUCAUGGUUUAACAAGCACUGAAGUUUCCCUAGCCCUGGGGAGGGCUUUUCCCAAUGUCUUUAGAAAGUUAAAAAUAUAACAAACCAAA